rnacentral:rRNA from 1 species
UACGUAGGGUGCAAGCGUUGUCCGGAAUUAUUGGGCGUAAAGGGCUCGUAGGCGGUUUGUCGCGUCGGGAGUGAAAACGCCGGGCUUAACCCGGUGCUUGCUUUCGAUACGGGCAGACUGGAGGUAUGCAGGGGAGAACGGAAUUCCUGGUGUAGCGGUGAAAUGCGCAGAUAUCAGGAGGAACACCGGUGGCGAAGGCGGUUCUCUGGGCAUGACCUGACGCUGAGGAGCGAAAGUGUGGGGAGCGAACAGG